rnacentral:rRNA from 1 species
AUGAAACACUCCUACGGGAGGCAGCAGUAGGGAAUCUUCGGCAAUGGACGGAAGUCUGACCGAGCAACGCCGGGUGAGUGAAGAAGGUUUUCGGAUCGUAAAGCUCUGUUGUAAGAGAAGAACGAGUGUGAGAGUGGAAAGUUCACACUGUGACGGUAUCUUACCAGAAAGGGACGGCUAACUACGUGCCAGCAGCCGCGGUAAUACGUAGGUCCCGAGCGUUGUCCGGAUUUAUUGGGCGUAAAGCGAGCGCAGGCGGUUAGAUAAGUCUGAAGUUAAAGGCUGUGGCUUAACCAUAGUAGGCUUUGGAAACUGUUUAACUUGAGUGCAAGAGGGGAGAGCGGAAUUCCAUGUGUAGCGGUGAAAUGCGUAGAUAUAUGGAGGAACACCAGUGGCGAAAGCGGCUCUCUGGCUUGUAACUGACGCUGAGGCUCGAAAGCGUGGGGAGCAAACAGGAUUAGAAACCCCAGUAGUCCGAAGUUC